rnacentral:lncRNA from 1 species
CUAAGAGUAGAUGUGGGUUUAUUCUAAUGUAUCUUGGUUCCUUCCAUCUCUAGUGAUAACAGUCUUUCUCUUCUUUCUGGUACAGAAGAGGAAUGGAAAUUUUAUUUAUAAGUGAAAAUUGCCUUUAUUAAAGAGAAAUUUAUUUCUUGCUUCUUGUCAGAGGGAGGGCAGACAACUCCUCCUGUGUCUGCUAUUUCUCAAUUGUCUUUAGCUCAAAAUAAUCUUUAUACAAAAAUAUCAUAUCUGGGGGUGGCAUCUUCUGAUCUCCUUCAGAUGUGUAAGUGUGAGGAUGGCCUUAGGCCUGAGCCUAAUCAACUCCAUUUUAAAAACUCCAGUUUGAAACCUGCAGUCUCACCAGGCACACCCACAGACCCCUCCAGUAUGGCCUCAAACAAGUUACUUCCCCUCACCCUGAUACACAGAGUGAAGCCACUGGCAGAUUGUCCUUGCCUGAUAAGAGGAAAAGGCUAGAAGAUCAGGGUAGAGACCAUCGGACCAGAUGUUUCGGACCCCAAGGUAAAUGAUGUCACUGAGAAAUCUGAUGGUAGCUGAUAAGGAUUGAAAGGGGCGUCAAAAGCCCCCAACAUUUAGUAUAAAUAAUAGAGCUGAUGAACAGGGAUUCAGCCAGCGGAAACAAGGAUGUACUCAAGCUGGAGAGCCUAAUGCGGACCUUACAUCCCAUCACUUGUCAUCGUUCCUGAUCCUCUGUGUGAUCCUCACUUCUCUCAAACUCUACCGCCUCAUCUGAACCUUGGUGAGAGCCACAGCUUCUCCCUACGACCCUCUCCUCAACUGGUCAUCCACUCCACACCAGGCAAAGCCUGCCUUGGUUCCAGACCUGAUCACCAUAGUCUCAGUGAGUGUGCAUCUGCUGGACAUAAAACCUAAGGUUUAAGACUUUUGAACUUAGCAUGCAGAGGAAAUGUCUGUCAUUAGCCUAUCACGAUUAAGUGUGUUUUCAGUGCUUAGAAUUAAUCUAUAAUUGUUUGCUGUGAAUUAAUUAGUCUAGAAUUAUUUGCUAUGAAUUGAGUAUGUCUAUUGCAGUGCCUAGCAUUAAGGAUUGUUGUUUUCUUGAUUAAGAACCUAUAGAGUGAAAAUGUAUUGAGUAACUUGAGUGAAUAAAGCAUUGAAAGG